rnacentral:rRNA from 1 species
CCUACGGGUGGCAGCAGUGAGGAAUAUUGGUCAAUGGACGAAAGUCUGAACCAGCCAUGCCGCGUGCAGGAAGACGGCUCUAUGAGUUGUAAACUGCUUUUGUACAAGGGUAAACCUGAAUACGUGUAUUCAGCUGAAAGUACUGUACGAAUAAGGAUCGGCUAACUCCGUGCCAGCAGCCGCGGUAAUAGGGGGAACCCAAGCGUAACCCGAAUUUAUUGGGUUUAAAGGGUGCGUAGGCGGAUUGAUAAGUUAGAGGUGAAAUUUCCGGGCUCAACUCGGGAACUGCCUUUAAUACUGUUGAUCUAGAGAGUAGAUGCGGUAGGCGGAAUGUAUGGUGUAGCGGUGAAAUGCUUAGAGAUCAUACAGAACACCGAUUGCGAAGGCAGCUUACCAAUCUAUAUCUGACGUUGAGGCACGAAAGCGUGGGGAGCAAACAGGAUUAGAUACCCUGGUAGUC